rnacentral:tRNA from 1 species
UCCAUGUCUCAGUUGGGAGAGUGUUAGACUAUAGAUGGAAAGUCCCUGGUUCGAUCCUGGUUUUGGCA